AUGGGUAUAGUAAAAAGGGCUUUUUAAUGCCUUUUACUAUACUGGAUAUCCUCACACUCAAAGUUUGGCGAUGGCGAGUGUGAGGAUUUUUUGUUUUUAU
rnacentral:sRNA from 1 species